GAGUUCCCUCAUCUGAUCUUCCCUGCUGCCCUGGGAAGGGGUACUGCUGUCCCCCAUGCCACAGGUGACAACACGGAGGGUCCGAGAACCCUGGACUCAGGGCUGGCUGACUCCAAAGUGCAUUCUGAGCUGUGUACUGCUGAGAAGCCGAGGGCAGUCUCUGCCACUCCAUCUCUCGUCUCUCUGCCAGGACACAGAGGGGGCAGCCACUUUGAGGGGACAGGUGGCCCUGGGGAGGAUGGGCCAGAGAUGGGGAAAUCGAGGCCCAAGAAUAUUAAAGAACAUCCAAGGUCGCUUGGUGAAAUUAGUGGCAAAGCCGGAACCACAGCCUCGGUGUGUCCAGCUCUAAAUCGGGGUUCUUUCCUCACACACACCUUGACCUGCCGCCCUGGAGCCCCCCAUGGACCUCUGGCUCUGGACAAGUGACCUCUACUGCCUCCCAGAGCCAGAGCACAGCCGUUAUCCUCGUGGCCCCCAGCACGGAGAUGUUGCCCGGACUCUGUGGGUCUCCAAACACAGACUGUAUUCACGGCUGUCACAGACCACAGCUGCGGAUGCUGCAUCUCACAAGCAAAGGUAAAAGUUGGAAGCUGUGAAAGUAACCUCACUGGCUGCUUUGCAGUUUCAGACACAGUGAACCAGCCCUCAAACCUCAGCUUCAUUCCUGGCUCUUAAAAACAAAUUGUAUUUUCA